rnacentral:misc_RNA from 1 species
UAUCGAAUUUAAAUUCAUUGAGGGAAGAUGGAAUAGCAGUCUAGGAUUGUCGCUGGCUCUCUACAUGUGUGCAUGUGCACGUCCUUGCUAUCUCUGUCGACCUUUCAACAUACACACACCCGUGCACCUAUUGUAGGUCCUCGCAAGAGGAUCUAUGUAUUUUCACUUCACAACCCUAUCGUAUGUCCAUAGAAUGUUAUCUCAAAGACCUUCCGAGCUUGAUUGAUCGGUUGGUCAAUGAAAUAAAAAUCAUAUACAACUUUCAGCAACGGAUCUCUUGGCUCUCGCAUCGAUGAAGAACGCAGCGAAUUGCGAUAAGUAAUGUGAAUUGCAGAUUUCCAGUGAAUCAUCGAAUCUUUGAACGCACCUUGCGCUCCUUGGUAUUCCGAGGAGCAUGCCUGUUUGAGUGUCAUUUAAUUCUCAACCAUGUCUUCAUUGACUUGGCUUGGAGUUGGGGGUUUGCUGGCGGUGUUCUCUAUCAUCAGCUCUCCUGAAAUGCAUUCGUGAUCAGUUGUUAUUAGGGCAUGCACGGCCUUUCGACGUGAUAAUGAUCGUCGAGGGCUGGAGUGUCCUUGACUUAACUAGAUCGCUUUCAUUACUUGCAAGCAAGCUCUUGCUUUUUGGUUAUUAGCUGGUCAACGGCGAACACCAAAGCGUAGACUUGACUUGACUUGACUUUUGAAACUUG